AUGGCGGCGCUGUGUCUGACCCGUGCCGUGGCUGCCGAGAGACAUUUUCCGCGAAUGUUUCUCUUCUCUAGGCCCUUUCGGGGCGUAGGGACUGAGAGCGGAUCCGAAAGUGGGAGUUCCGAUGCCACGGAGCCUAAGACGCGCCCAGGCGGCUUCGCAAGGGCCUUGGAGCGGCACUCGGAUCUACUGCAGAAGGUGGAGCCCGGGCGGGGCUCUCCAAAAAAUGUGGAAUCCUUUGCAUCUAUGCUGAGACGUUCUCCUCUUACACAGAUGGGACCUGCCAAGGAUAAACCGGUCAUUGGACGGAUCUUUCAUAUCGUGGAGAAUGAUCUUUACAUAGAUUUUGGUGGAAAAUUUCAUUGUGUAUGUAGAAGACCAGAAGUGGAUGGAGAAGCUCCAGAUGUCGACCAAAAGGGGACCCAGUCCCGUUUACUCUGCAUUGAGAACCACUGCACGGAGGCGCCGGCAAAACCUUCACACCAGCAAAACCACUGCGCCGGCCACAAGAGUCGCGCUGGUGACCUGUAGGGCUCCUCUGCUGGGAAUCUCCUGGUCUGUGAGCAGCAAAAAUUCAUCUGAAAGUGUGGCGUUCUCUCGUUCUCUGUGCUUUCACUGGGAGCUAAAAUCCUGAGCUGCUAGUAACCGGCCAUCUUGGAUCUCUCUGGAAAUAUCAGCAAGGAACCAGGGUCCGCUUGCGACUCUUAGAUCUGGAACUUACGUCUAGGUUCCUGGGAGGAACAACAGAUACAACUAUACUAGAGGCAGAUGCAGUUCUCUUAGGACUCCUGGAGAGUAAAGACUCA